UACAGAGGUGCAAGCGUUGUUCGGAAUUACUGGGCGUAAAGGGCGCGUAGGCGGCCUUCUAAGUCAGACGUGAAAUCCCCCGGCUUAACCUGGGAACUGCGUCUGAUACUGGGAGGCUUGAGUAUGGGAGAGGGAUGUAGAAUUCCAGGUGUAGCGGUGAAAUGCGUAGAUAUCUGGAGGAAUACCGGUGGCGAAGGCGGCAUCCUGGACCAUAACUGACGCUGAGGCA
rnacentral:rRNA from 1 species